rnacentral:rRNA from 1 species
UUCCUCUUAGUUUAAGAGGUAAGGCCUGCUCACUGAAUUAUUUUAAAGAGCCGCAGUAUCCUAACUGUGCUAAGGUAGCAUAAUCAUUAGUCUUUUAAUUGGAGACUGGUAUGAAUGGCUAAACGAGAAAUUGACUUUUUUUGUUAUAAAUAAUUGAAUUUAAUUUUUUAGUGAAAAAGCUAAAAUUAUUCAGAAAGACGAGAAGACCCUAUAGAGUUUUAUACUAAAUUGUUUAUUUUUCUUAUUUGAUUUUUUUGGAUAAAUAAAUGAAAAGUAUUUUGUUGGGGCGACAUUAAGAUAAAAAAAACUCUUUAUUUUUUUAAUUUUUAUAAAAAGAAAGUUUGAUCCUUUAUAAGAGAUUAAAAGAUAAAAUUACCUUAGGGAUAACAGCGUAAUCUUUAUUGAGAGUUCUAAUCGACAAGAAGGUUUGCGGCCUCGAUGUUGGACUAAAAUUUAGGCAGGGUGCAGCAGUUCUGCUUUAAGGUCUGUUCGACCUAUAAUAUUUUACACGAUCUGAGUUCAGACCGGCGUAAG